UUGUAAUUUAAUGUUAUGUUUCCACAUUUGUCUGCUAAAAAUGUGAGUUAUUUGGGAAUCUACAACUUAUACCUGACCUGUGUUGAUUAGUGUAAUUUUCUUCCAUUGUAAUUAAUUUCUUAGUAAUAAAACUGACUGAACCUAUCUCUAAAUGUUACUACUCACCCCAUGUUUUUAACCUCUCUGUUGGUUUCUGUGUGCAUUUGUGUGUGUGUGUGUGUGUGUGUGUUUGACCUCAGCUCAUAGACCUCCCCUAAGGCUACAGUGCUUGGGCCCCUGUGUUAACACCUCUCAGUGCUGGACACACCUGUCAUUGAUUAGCCUCUGUCUGUGAUCCCAUCCCUCAACUGCAUUGGCGGUGCAUGUGAAACAAAGAACAGCUGCUCCUCUCUUGCACCAUGCUUUGAAUGAAUGCACCAGUCCUCGACCCGCAAAGUAGAUCCCCAGGACAAAACCUCAGGAAGACGCCGGUCCCACAGGAACCGGGCCGACCACCGCUAUCGGCACUUGACGAGCUUGUCAGCCGCAUGCAGCGGGCCAGCUUCUUUUCUUAUCAUCAGGAAGUUGUCAGAUGAAAAACUUCCCCUGAAUGAAUAUACACAAUAUCUUGGCACACCGGUCAGGAUCCAGCACAGAGGACCCUAUCUUUAAAAUCGCA